rnacentral:miRNA from 1 species
GCAGACACAUUCCAGUCAAUCAGCAGCAGACCCUCCCUCCCAGACCCUCCCACCUCCUGGACAGCAUCCAUUUUACAUUCAUUGUGAAGCUGCAUUCUUAGUGAGCUGUCCAGGAGGUGGGAGGGUCUGGGAGGGAGGGUCUGCUGCUGAUUGACUGGAAUGUGUCUG